rnacentral:rRNA from 1 species
GUGGCGAACGGGUGAGUAACACGUGAGUAACCUGCCCCUGAUUUCGGGAUAAGCCUGGGAAACCGGGUCUAAUACCGGAUACGACCACCGAACGCAUGUUCGGUGGUGGAAAGUUUUUCGAUCGGGGAUGGGCUCGCGGCCUAUCAGCUUGUUGGUGGGGUAAUGGCCUACCAAGGCGACGACGGGUAGCCGGCCUGAGAGGGCGACCGGCCACACUGGGACUGAGACACGGCCCAGACUCCUACGGGAGGCAGCAGUGGGGAAUAUUGCACAAUGGGGGAAACCCUGAUGCAGCGACGCAGCGUGCGGGAUGACGGCCUUCGGGUUGUAAACCGCUUUCAGCAGGGAAGAAGCGAAAGUGACGGUACCUGCAGAAGAAGUACCGGCUAACUACGUGCCAGCAGCCGCGGUAAUACGUAGGGUACGAGCGUUGUCCGGAAUUAUUGGGCGUAAAGAGCUCGUAGGUGGUUGGUCACGUCUGCUGUGGAAACGCAACGCUUAACGUUGCGCGUGCAGUGGGUACGGGCUGACUAGAGUGCAGUAGGGGAGUCUGGAAUUCCUGGUGUAGCGGUGAAAUGCGCAGAUAUCAGGAGGAACACCGGUGGCGAAGGCGGGACUCUGGGCUGUAACUGACACUGAGGAGCGAAAGCAUGGGGAGCGAACAGGAUUAGAUACCCUGGUAGUCCAUGCCGUAAACGUUGGGCACUAGGUGUGGGG